ensembl:lncRNA novel transcript
AAAUGAAACAUCACUGGAAAUAGUAAAUACAUGGAGUUUCACCUGCCACCUGGAUCAUUUCCUAUUUUUCUGCAGCCACUUCAGGGCGGGGACCCAGUAUCACGAAGCUGCAAGGUAAAAAGGAUCAAACCUUAACUGCCUACAUGUGCUCACAGGAACAUAAGUGAGUGAGGCUCACCAGCAACCAGGAAGUGAGCUGAGCCUAACAUAUGGGAGAGAUCCUGUCUCAUCUGCAGGGAAGAGCUGCUAUAUAGGAAAGUAUCUGCUCAUUGCUGCCAUGUGGGAAUGCUGGUAUUGCUGGACUUUCUGAUGUUUUAGGAGAAACUGCUGAUCUGUGCAUGAAGUCUGAUAUAUAAAGAUGAUACUAUAUUUAUGUGUCUAUGGAUAAAUAAAUAAUGUCAACUGGUUCCA